UGCAGAACAGAUUAAUUAUUAAUCAUGCCCCUAUUUUAUGCGUGUCAUUACCAGAGCUUAGAGAAAAGAAAAGGAAAUCAGGCAGGGUUGAACUGGAAACGGGAAUGCACCUUUGUUACUCAGCUGUAAUCAUCACUGAAUAGAACAGAAGUUUCUCAGUCUGAAGAACCCAGAAGCAGGAGGGGAGGACUCUAUAGUUUGACUGAAAGGCCAAACUGUUCUACCAGAAGGGAAACUAAAGCACUAAAUUACCCUGCCAGAAGAGGGAAACUGCAGAAUAGAAGAGAAAUGAGGCACAGCUCCAGAGGAGAGCCUGAGGCAACAGCUACCCCUGACACUGGAGAUCUGAAGCACCCGGCACUUGCCACUCUCAGAAGACAGGACACUGGCGGGCUAGAUGGACCAUUGUUCUGACCCAGUAUGACAAGAAGACUCCUGGAAACACCUGAGGAACAAAGACUGACCUUGGGGAAGUGCUGGACCCAGGCUAAAGGGAUUUCUAGCCUGUGUAUGAAAGACCUGGGGAUUCCAAGCUGUAAAUCAAGUGCAGCUUGCCCUUUCAGAAUUUGCAGCCUGCUUGUAUCAUUUCUCAGGAUGACUUCGAUAUACUGCUCCAGUCAGAUAAUGAUUUCUAAUUCCUAUAUAAAGAAAGAAAAUUAAACAAAUAUAAGACCCACUCAGCUCUAAUACAAACAUGUUCCGACAUCUUGUGUCA